UACGGGGGGGGGCAAGCGUUUGUUCGGAAUUACUGGGCGUAAAGGGUUCGUAGGUGGCCCGCUAAGUCACACGUGAAAUCCCUCAGCUUAACUGGGGAACUGCGUGUGAGACUGGCAGGCUUGAGUGCAGGAGAGGAACGCGGAAUUCCAGGUGUAGCGGUGAAAUGCGUAGAUAUCUGGAGGAACACCGGUGGCGAAGGCGGUUCUCUGGGGACGGUACUGACGCUGAGACGCGAAAGCGUGGGGAGCAAACAGG
rnacentral:rRNA from 1 species